UGGGGAAUAUUGCACAAUGGGCGAAAGCCUGAUGCAGCAACGCCGCGUGCGGGAUGACGGCCUUCGGGUUGUAAACCGCUUUCAGCAGGGACGAAGGUUUUCUGACGGUACCUGCAGAAGAAGCACCGGCUAACUACGUGCCAGCAGCCGCGGUGAUACGUAGGGUGCGAGCGUUGUCCGGAAUUAUUGGGCGUAAAGAGCUUGUAGGCGGUCCGUUGCGCCGGAAGUGAAAACUCAGGGCUUAACCCUGAGCCUGCUUUCGAUACGGGCGGACUUGAGGGAUGUAGGGGAGAACGGAAUUCCUGGUGGAGCGGUGGAAUGCGCAGAUAUCAGGAGGAACACCAGUGGCGAAGGCGGUUCUCUGGACAUUUCCUGACGCUGAGAAGCGAAAGCGUGGGGAGCAAACAGGCUUAGAUACCCGUGGUAGUCCACGCCGUAAACGGUGGGCACUAGGUGUGGGACCCAUUCCACGGGUUCCGUGCCGUAGCUAACGCAUUAAGUGCCCCGCCU
rnacentral:rRNA from 1 species